rnacentral:tRNA from 1 species
GCCGGUGUAGCUCAGUGGUAGAGCGCUUCCUUGGUAAGGAAGAGGUCCCGAGUUCAACUCUCGGCAUUGGCUC